UACUAGAGUAGCACUCGCAUAUCAAUAAGCGGAGGAAAAGAAACUAACAAGGAUUCCCCUAGUAACGGCGAGUGAAGCGGGAAGAGCUCAAAUUUGAAAUCUUAAAGGGUUUCCCUUUACGAAUUGUAGUUUAAAGAAGUGUUUUCUGUUGAGGUUUUGGUAAAAGUUCUUUGGAAUAGGACAUCAUAGAGGGUGAGAAUCCCGUAUUUGACCUUUACUUUCAACUUUGUGAUACACUUUCAAAGAGUCGGAUUGUUUGGGAAUGCAGUCCAAAAUGGGUGGUAAAUUUCAUCUAAAGCUAAAUAUUGGCGAGAGACCGAUAGCGAAUAAGUACCGUGAGGGAAAGAUGAAAAGAACUUUGAAAAGAGAGUUAAACAGUACGUGAAAUUGUCAAAAGGGAAGCGUUUGACACCAGUGUUGUUUUUCUGAAAAUCAAUUAAAGAACUGUUUAUGCUAAGCUGUUUAGACUUUAUCAGCUAUACUGUUUAGUUUUGAGCUUUUCUUUAAUGCACUUUUCAGUUAACAAGUCAACAUCAAUUUCUUUUGCUGUAAAAAAGCUUGAGGAAGGUGGCUUGAGAUUCGUCUUAAGUGUUUAUAGCCUCUUGCCUAUGCAGUCGGAGAGAUUGAGGUCUGCAGCGUAGAUCCUUCGGGGCUAAAUGCAUUUGUGCUAAGUUAUAGCAUUUUAUAGACAACUUGUUGACUAUGAUUUGUCUUGUAGCUUACUCGCUUAUGUUAUUUUACCUACGCUUAGGAUGUUGAUCUACAGAGCGAGAGU
rnacentral:rRNA from 1 species